UGUUUUUUUUACACCAGAAUAUUUUUUUAGUGCCAGCUAGGAACUUAGUGGUGCAAAAUAAAACAUUCAUCAGCAAAUAUAAACAAAGAAAAUAGGAAUAUAAUCAAAUAACUAACAAUUAAAUAGUGGUAAAAGUCCCGAUGUUUUGUAUUAAAAUGAUGGUAAAAAGAGCUGAGCAUGUUCUGAAAUACUAAGAAGAGGACACACUCGAACUUGCUUUUAUAAAUAAUAUAUUUAUUUAAAUAUUUAUAAUAUAACAAACUCGAAUUUGCUUAUAUAAAUAAUAUAUUCAACUAAAUAUACCGUAUUUCCUUGAAUUGCCACCGGGGCGCUAAUUAAUUUAAAACCUCUUCUCACUUCUGCGCUUACCAAAGGCAUGCGGUAAAAGUAAGCAUGCACUAAUUAUAUUAAAACCUCUUCUCACUCCGGCACUUACCAAAGGCAUGCAGUAAAAAAAUGAGUGUGAUGUAAGCUGGGACUUUAAAUCGUACUGAAAAGCUCUUAAUCGUCUUCCCUUUAUGCGAUUUCAAAUUACCGGUAUUGAAAUCAGCCUCCUGCAUUUUGAAAAUGAUGACAGGGGAAGUGUCACUCGUGGGAGAAAAAAAAUAGAAGAUUAAAAUAAUAAAAAAAAUAAAAAGAAGACAAAUUUGUAUACAUGUGUAAAUGUAUUCAGUUAUAAACAUUCAUUCACUUUCUUCUUUCCUUCAUGAAUCUAAACUUUACCACUGAUGCUAGUUUUUAUCUAAUAAGUUGUAGGUGUAUUUAUUUCAGUAUAAAAGUAUUUCGCUUGGGUCAUCUAUAUUUUAUUUAAAAAUGUUUUAGUUUUUUGUUGGUUUUUUUUUCUUUGUUUGUUUUCCGCACUUUUUUGUCAGACAUAACUGUUUUUUUUUUAAUGGCAAACACACAAAAUAUGCAAAAUCUUCCACCAAAGUGGAAUAUUUGAUGGGAACCUUGGAUAGAACAAUAAUUAAUAACAUUGAUUUUGAGUCAAUAUUAUAUUUUGAUCAAUGACAGUUUGAAAGAAAACAAACUGUUGUGUUUUAUUGGUCAACAUUGCAACGUUUUCUAAACGACAUUUCCCCUUUUAAGCUUUUUUUUAAUUUCACUUUUCUUGUGUUUUUGUUUAUUUUAAUAGUAUUUUUAGAAUGUGCCGCCAAAGGCCACACUUUUGACACCCCUGCUAUAAAUAAUAAACAAAUAAAUCGGAUAAAUCUAUGGCUAAAAAGCAGCCUGGCGACGCAUGCGCGCUUGUCACAACUCUCUCUCUCUCUCUCCGUCUCAGCCCCUCCCUCACGAAUGUUGCUGCGCGCGCACACCCUCAUCAUUUGUUUUGUUUUUAACACUUUCCUAACCCCGGAAGUGAACUGGAAAUGGACGCAAAAUGGCGGACAUUUCAGGCAUUGAAGACACUCCGACCAGACAGCCCGCCAAAGAGGACAAGUCCGGGGAAAAGUGGACGAAUGGUCAGUUUAUCGUAAAGCUAAGUUGGCAUAAACACAUAGCUUUCUUACUAUGCUAACUGUUCCCUUUGUAGCAAGCUAACAUGCUAACUUUUGCUAUGUCAUCAUGCUAAUGUUUUAUGCAAAAUGUUUCGCUCAUUUGAACGUAAAUAUAAAAGUUCAACACUCCAAUUUUAUCACGCUAACAUUAGCAUUGUUUGUUUUUGAUGAUUAGUCUUGAAAGUAUGCCAACUGUGCCUGCUAUAACGAGCCAUUGUUAGCAUGCUAACAUUUUACACAAAAAAUUGUGGCUUUCGAUACUUUGCGCCAUUUUAUAAGUGUGCUAACUUUUCCUAUGUCAUCAUGCUAAUGUUUUAUAAAACUUUUUUUUAGUUAAUUUGAACCGAAGUAUAUUUUUCGACCAUUGGCGCCAGCUAGCUUUUCCAAUUGCAUCAUGCUAACAUUAGCAUUGUUUGUUUCUGAUGAUUAAAAGUUGAAAUUUAUGGGAUUUUUCAGACAUGUCUUAGUCUUGAAAGUAUGCCAACCAAGCUAUUAUUAGCAUGCUAAAAUUUUAUGCUGUCUUUUUAACUGAUGUUAUUCAUUUGAACCUAAAAAUAAUCGCUUUGGAUACUCGGCGCCAUCUUAGAUGUAUGUUAACGUUUCCUAUUUUCUCAUGCUAACAUUAGCAUUGUUUGUUUUUGAUGAUUAGUCUUGAAAGUAUGCCAACUGUGCCUGCUAUAACGAGCCAUUGUUAGCAUGCUAACAUUUUACACCAAAAAUUGUGGGUUUCGAUACUUUGCGCCAUUUUAUAAGUGUGCUAACUUUUCCAAUGUCAUCAUGCUAAUGUUUUAUGAAAACUUUUUUUUUUUAGUUAAUUUGAACCUAAGUAUAUAUUUCAACCAUUGGCGCCAGCUAGCUUCUCCAAUUGUAUCAUGCUAACAUUAACAUUGUUUGUUUCUGUUGAUUAAAAGUUCAAAUUUAUGUGUUUUUUCAGACGUGUCUUAGUCUUGAAAGUAUGCCAACUAAGCUAUUAUUAGCAUGCUAGAAUUUUUAUGGUAGCUUUUUAGCUGAUGUUAUUCAUUUGAACCUAAAAAUAAUUGCUUCGGGUACUCGGCGCCAUCUUAGAAGUAUGUUAACGUUUCCUAUUUUCUCAUGCUAACAUUAGCAUUGUUUGUUUUUGAUGAUUAGUCUUGAAAGUAUGCCAACUGUGCCUGCUAUAACGAGCCAUUGUUAGCAUGCUAACAUUUUACACCAAAAAUUGUGGCUUUCGAUACUUUGCGCCAUUUUAUAAGUGUGCUAACUUUUCCUAUGUCAUCAUGCUAAUGUUAUAUAAAAACUUUUUUUUAGUUAAUUUGAACCUAAGUAUAUAUUUCGACCAUUGGCGCCAGCUGGCUUCUCCAAUUGCAUCAUGCUAACAUUAGCAUUGUUUGUUUCUGAUGAUUGAAAGUUAAAAUUUAUGGGGUUUUCCAGACAUGUCUUAGUCGUGAAAGUAUGCCAAAUAAGCUAUUAUUAGCAUGCUAGAAUUUUAUGGUAGCUUUUUAGCUGAUGUUAUUCAUUUGAACCUAAAAAUAUUGGCUUUGGAUACUCGGCGCCAUCUUAGAAGUAUGUUAACGUUUCCUAUUUUCUCAUGCUAACGUUAGCAUGGUUUGAUUUUGAUUAUUCAAACCUAAAAUGUAUGCGUUUUUGAGACGUGUCCAUCUUGCAAGCGUACUAACUUCCUAAUAUAACGAGCUAAUGUUAGCAUGCUAUUUUUUUAUGUUAGCAUUUUUGCUCAUUUAUAUACGUAUGAAACUAAAUAUCAUGGCUUUCAGUACUUGGCUCCGUCUUAUACGUUUGCUAACUAUUCCUGUGUGAUCAUGCUAAUGUUUUAUGCAAGCUUUUUAGCUCCUUUUAACCUAAAUAUAUAUUUCAACACUUGGCGCCAGCUAGCUUCCCCAAUUUUAUCACGCUAACAUUAGUAUUGUUUUUUUUUAUGAUUAGUCUUGAAAGUAUGCCAACUGUGCCUGCUAUAACGAGCCAUUGUUAGCAUGCUAACAUUUUACACUAAAAAUUGUGGCUUUCGAUACUUUGCGCCAUUUUAUAAGUGUGCCAACUUUUCCUAUGUCAUCAUGCUAAUGUUAUAUAAAAACUUUUUUUUAGUUAAUUUGAACCUAAGUAUAUAUUUCAACCAUGGCGCCAGCUAGCUUCUCCAAUUGUAUCAUGCUAACAUUAGCAUUGUUUGUUUCUGAUGAUUGAAAGUUAAAAUUUAUGGGGUUUUUCAGACAUGUCUUAGUCUUGAAAGUAUGCCAACCAAGCUAUUAUUAGCAUGCUAGAAUUUUUAUGCUAGCUUUUUAGCUGAUGUUAUUCAUUUGAACCUAAAAAUAAUCGCUUUGGAUACUCGGCGCCAUCUUAGAAGUAUGUUAACGUUUCCUAUUUUCUCAUGCUAACAUUAGCAUUGUUUAUUUUUGAUGAUUAGUCUUGAAAGUAUGCCAACUGUGCCUGCUAUAACGAGCCAUUGUUAGCAUGCUAACCUUUUUCCACAAAAAAUUGUGGCUUUCGAUACUUUGCGCCAUUUUAUAAGUGUGCCAACUUUUCCUAUGUCAUCAUGCUAAUGUUAUAUAAAAACUUUUUUUUAGUUAAUUUGAACCUAAGUAUAUAUUUCAACCAUGGCGCCAGCUAGCUUCUCCAAUUGUAUCAUGCUAACAUUAGCAUUGUUUGUUUCUGAUGAUUGAAAGUUAAAAUUUAUGGGGUUUUUCAGACAUGUCUUAGUCUUGAAAGUAUGCCAACCAAGCUAUUAUUAGCAUGCUAGAAUUUUUAUGCUAGCUUUUUAGCUGAUGUUAUUCAUUUGAACCUAAAAAUAAUCGCUUUGGAUACUCGGCGCCAUCUUAGAAGUAUGUUAACGUUUCCUAUUUUCUCAUGCUAACAUUAGCAUUGUUUAUUUUUGAUGAUUAGUCUUGAAAGUAUGCCAACUGUGCCUGCUAUAACGAGCCAUUGUUAGCAUGCUAACCUUUUUCCACAAAAAAUUGUGGCUUUCGAUACUUUGCGCCAUUUUAUAAGUGUGCUAACUUUUCCUAUGUCAUCAUGCUAAUGUUUUAUGAAAACUUUUUUUUUUUAGUUAAUUUGAACCUAAGUAUAUAUUUCAACCAUUGGCGCCAGCUAGCUUCUCCAAUUGUAUCAUGCUAACAUUAGCAUUGUUUGUUUCUGAUGAUUGAAAAUUAAAAUUUAAGGGAUUUUUCAGUAAUGUCUUAGUCUUGAAAGUAUGCCAACUAAGCUAUUAUUAGCAUGCUAGAAUUUUAUGGUAGCUUUUUAGCUGAUGUUAUUCAUUUGAACCUAAAAAUAAUCGCUUUGGAUACUCGGCGCCAUCUUAGAAGUAUCUUAACGUUUCCUAUUUUCUCAUGCUAACGUUAGCAUGGUUUGAUUUUGAUUAUUAAAACCUAAAAUGUAUGCGUUUUUGAGACGUGUCCAUCUUGCAAGCGUACUAACUUCCUAGUAUAACAAGCUAAUGUUAGCAUGCAAAUUUUUUAUGGCAUAACCACAUAGCUUUUUGAAUAUGCUAACUGUUCGCGUUAUAGCAAGCUAACGUGCUAACUUUUGCCAUGUUAUCAUGCUAAUGUUAAUGCAAGCUAUUUAGCUCUUUUGAACCUAAAUAUAUAUUUCAACACUUGGCGCCAGCUGGCUUCUCCAAUUUUAUCACGCUAACAUUAGCAUUGUUUGUUUUUGAUGAUUAGUCUUGAAAGUAUGCCAACUGUGCCUGCUAUAACGAGCCAUUGUUAGCAUGCUGACAUUUUACGCUAGCUUUUUAGUUCACUUUAUUCCGUUGAACCUAAAAAUUGUGGCUUUCGAUACUUUGCGCCAUCUUAUAAGUGUGCUAACUUUUCCUAUGUCAUCUUGUUAAUGUUUUAUGCAAGCUUUUUUAGCUCAUUUGAACUUAAAUAUGUUUUUCAACACUUGGCGCCAGCUAGCUUCUCCGAAUGAUCAAAACCUAAAAUUUAUGGGGUUUUUGAGACAUGUCUUAAUCUUGAAAUUAUAUCAAUGAAGCUAUUAUUAGCAUGCUAGCAUUUAUGCUAGGUUUUUAGCUCAUUUUAUUCAUUUGAACCUAAAAAUCCUGGCUUUGGAUACUUGGCGCCAUCUUAGAAGUAUGUUAACGUUUCCUAUUUUAUCAUGCUAAUGUUAGCAUGGGUUGAUUUUUAUUAAGUGGCGCGAUCUUAGAAUUAUGUUAACGUUUCCUAUUUUCUCAUGCUAACGUUAGCAUGGAUUGAUUUUGAUUAUUCAAACCUAAAAUUCAUGGGUUUUUGAGAAAUGUCUUAAUCUUGCAGCUAUGCUAACUGUUCCUAAUAUAACAAGCCAAUGUAUACACCACCAUGUCAUAGUCUGAGUACACACCACCACCACGUCAUAAUCGGAGUACACACCACCACCACGUCAUAAUCGGAGUACACACCACCACCACGUCAUAGUCGGAGUACACACCACCACCACGUCAUAGUCGGAGUACACACCACCACCACGUCAUAGUCGGAGUACACAACACCACCACGUCAUAGUCGGAGUACACACCACCACCACGUUGUAGUCGGAGUACACACCACCACCACGUUGUAGUCGGAGUACACACCAACCCCACGUCAUAAUCAAUCAAUCAAUCAAUCAAUCUUUAUUUAUAUAGCCCCAAAUCACAAAUGUCUCAAAGGACUGCACAAAUCAUUACGACUACAACAUCCUCGGAAGAACCCACAAAAGGGCAAGGAAAACUCACACCCAGUGGGCAGGGAGAAUUCACAUCCAGUGGGACGCCAGUGACAAUGCUGACUAUGUGAAACCUUGGAGAGGACCUCAAAUGUGGGCAACCCCCCCCUCUAGGGGACCGAAAGCAAUGGAUGUCGAGCGGGUCUAACAUGAUACUGUGAAAGUUCAAUCCAUAGUGGCUCCAUGACAGCAGCGAGAAUCCCGUCCACAGGAAACCAUCUCAAGCGGAUCAGCAGCGUAGAGAUGUCCCCAACCGAUACAGGCAAGCGGUCCAUCCUGGGUCCCAACGUCAUAAUCGGAGUACACACCACCACGUUGUAGUCGGAGUACACACCACCCCAAAGUCAUAAUCGGAGUACACACCACCACAUAGUCGGAGUACACACCACCACCACGUUGUAGUCGGAGUACACACCACCACCACGUCAUAGUCGGAGUACACACCACCACCACGUCGUAGUCGGAGUACACACCACCACCACGUCAUAGUGGAGUACACACCACCACCACGUCAUAGUCUGAGUACACACCACCACCACGUCAUAGUGGAGUACACACCACCACCACGUCAUAGUCGGAGUACACACCACCACCACCACGUCAUAGUCGGAGUACACACCACCACCACCACGUCACAGUCGGAGUACACACCACCACCAUGUCAUAGUCGGAGUAAACCCACACACCCUUUUUCUUCCAUGCUAGGGCACACUGUUCUCUCCCAGCGGUCCUCAAACGCCUCAUAUGGUUCCCGUUAAUCCCUCCAUGCAUAGAAAUCAGCAAUCAGAGGAAGUGCAAGAUUGGUGGAGAAGAUCAGCGCCUGUUCUGAACUCCUACUUGAUGACCAGCAGCUGGGAAGAAACUUCUGGAAAACCUGCAGCAGGAACCUUGCAACGAAGGCCCCCUACAACCACUUUUGUUCCGCUUUUCCCUUUGAUAUUGUCCAGCAAUGGAAAACAAACACUCUCACACACACACACAGGCUGAGAGGACGGUUAGGAUGUAAAAAAAAGAUAAAAAAGAAGAAAAUAACAAGAAGAAGAUGAUGAUGAAGAAGAAGAAAAAGAAAAUAAAAAAGAAAAUGACAUGAAGAAGAAGAAAAAAACACGAAGUUGUUGAUGAAGAAGAUAAACAAGAAGAAAAUAACACAAAAAAAAGAUAAAGAAGACAAAGAAGAAAAAGAAGAUAAAGAAGACAAUAAAGAAGAAAAUGACACAAAGAAGAAGAAAAACACACGUUGAAGAAGUUGAUGAUGAAGAUAAAGAAGAAGAAAAUAACACGAAAAAGAAGAUAAAGAAGACAAAAAUGACACAAAGAAGAUGAAGAAGAAAAAGAAAAAAACAUGAUGAAGAAGCUGAUGAUGAAGAAGAAGAUAAAGAAGAAACUAACACGAAAAAGAAGAUAAAGAAGAUGAAAAUUACACAAAGAAGAAGAUGAUGAAGAAAAAGAAAAUAAAGAAAAAUAAAACGACACGAAGAAAAACAUGAUGAACAAAAAGAAGAUAUAGAAGAUAACAUGAAGAAGAAGAUGCUGAUGAAGAAGAUAAAAAGGAAGAAAAUAACACUAAGAAGAUGAUGAUGAAGAAGAAAAUGAAGAUAAAGAAGAAAAUGACAUGAAGAAGACAAAGAAGAAGAAGAAGAAAAUAACUUAAUGAAGAAGUUGAUAAAGAAGAAGAAAAUAACAUGAAAAAGAAGAUAAAGAAGAAGAAAAUGAGACAAAGAAGAAGAUGAUAAUGAAGGACAAGAUAAAGUUGAAGAAAACAACACAAAGAAGAAGAUGAUGAUGUAGAAGAGGAAAAAGAAAAUUACAUGAAGAAGAAGAUAAAGAAGAAGAAAAUAACACGAAGAUGAUGAUGAAGAAGAAAAAGAAGAAAAUAACACAAAAAAGGAGAUAAAAAUGACAAAAAUAACAAGAAAAUAAAGAAGAAAAUGACAGGAAGAAGAAGAUGAUGAAGAAAAAGAUAAAGACAACAACACAAAGAAGAUGAUGAAGGUGAUGUAAAAGAAGAUAAAUAAGGAGAAAAUAACAUGAAGAUGAUGAAGAAGAAGAAGAUAAAGAAGAAAAUGACACAAAGAAGAUAAAGAAGAAGAAAAUAACACGAUGAAGAAGUUGAUGAAGAAGAAGAUAAAGAAGAAGAAAAUAACACGAUGAUGAAGAUAAAGAAGAAAAAAAUAACAUGAAGAUGAUGAUGAAGAAGAUAAAGAAGAAGUAAAUAACAUGAAGAAGAAUAAGAUAAUGAUGAUGAAGAUAAAGAAGAAGGUAAAGAAAAAGAAGAUAAAGAAGUUGAAGAAGAAGAAGAAAAUAACACAAUGAAGAAGAUAAAGAAGAAGAAAAUAACAUGAAGAAGAAGAGGAUGAUUAAGAAGAUAAAGAAGAAGAUAAAGAAAAAUAAAAUAACUCAAAGAAGAAGAUGUCAAUGAAAAAGAAGAUAAAGAAGAACAUGAAGAAAAUGACAAGAAGACAAAGAAAAAGAAAAUGACACAAAGAAGACAAUAAAGAAGAAAAAACAUGGAGAUGAUGAUGAAGAAGAAGAUAAAGAAGAAGAAAAUAACUAGAAGAAGAAGAUGAUAAUGAUGAAGGAAAUGCGAGGAGUUGAGUUGAUACCAAAAUGGAUACAUGGAUGAUACAGCAGAGGAUUGGCAGAAUGUCAUGUGGUCAGAUGAAACCAAAAUAGAACUUUUUGCUUUAAACUCAGCUGGUGGUGUUUGGAGGAAGAAGAAUACUGAGUUGCAUCCCAAGAACACCAUACCUACUGUGAAGCAUGGGGGUGGAAACAUCAUGCUUUGGGGCUGUUUUUCUGCUAAGGGGACAGGACGAUUGAUCCGUGUUAAGGAAAGAAUGAAUGAGGCCAUGUAUCCUGAGAUUUUCAGCCAAAUCCUUCCAUGAAUGGUUGACCAAAUACUUAUUUUCCACCAUAGUUUACAAAUAAAUUCUUUAAAAUUCCUACAA